UCGACGAGAAAGCCGGGGCAACUCGGUGAGUAAAGUGGCGUACGGGUGAGUAACACGUGGAUUAUCUACCUCUUGGUGGGGAAUAACCCUGGGAAACCGGGGGUAAUACCGCAUGAGCUCGAAAGAGGAAAGUCGAAAGACGCCGAGAGAGGAGUCCGCGGCCGAUUAGCUAGUUGGCGGGGUAACGGCCCACCAAGGCGAAGAUCGGUAGCCGGCCUGAGAGGGCACACGGCCACACUGGCACUGAAACACGGGCCAGACUCCUACGGGAGGCAGCAGUGGGGAAUCUUGCACAAUGGGGGAAACCCUGAUGCAGCGACGCCGCGUGAGCGAUGAAGCCCUUCGGGGUGUAAAGCUCUUUCGACGGGAACGAUAAUGACGGUACCCGGAGAAGAAGCUGCGGCUAACUACGUGCCAGCAGCCGCGGUAAUACGUAGGCAGCGAGCGUUGUUCGGAGUUACUGGGCGUAAAGAGUGUGUAGGCGGUGUCGUAAGUUCGGUGUGAAAUCUCCCGGCUUAACUGGGAGGGUGCGCCGGAAACUGCGAGACUUGAGUACGGGAGAGGGAAGCGGAAUUCCUGGUGUAGCGGUGAAAUGCGUAGAUAUCAGGAGGAACACCUGCGGUGUAGACGGCUUCCUGGACCGUUACUGACGCUGAGACACGAAAGCGUGGGGAGCAAACAGGAUUAGAUACCCUGGUAGUCCACGCCCUAAACGAUGCAUACUUGGUGUGAGCCAUUCAGUUGGUUCGUGCCGGAGCUAACGCGUUAAGUAUGCCGCCUGGGGAGUACGGUCGCAA
rnacentral:rRNA from 1 species